CCUACGGGCGGCAGCAGUGAGGAAUAUUGGUCAAUGGGCGCGAGCCUGAACCAGCCAAGUCGCGUGAGGGAUGACGGUCCUACGGAUGGUAAACCUCUUUUGCCGGGGAGCAAGCGUGCGUUCGUGAACGCGCGUCGAGAGUACCCGGCGAAAAAGCAUCGGCGAACUCCGUGCCAGCAGCCGCGGUAAUACGGAGGAUGCGAGCGUUAUCCGGAUUGAUUGGGUUUAAAGGGUGCGUGGGCGGGAUGCCAAGUCAGCGGUAAAAAUGCGGUGCUCAACGCCGUCGAGCUGUUGAAACUGGCGUUCUGGAGUGGGCGAGAGGUAUGCGGAAUGCGUGGUGUAGCGGUGAAAUGCAUAGAUAUCACGAAGAACUCCGAUUGCGAAGGCAGCAUACUGGCGCCCUACUGACGCUGAGGCACGAAAGCGUGGGUAUCGAACAGGAUUAGAUACCCGUGUAGUC
rnacentral:rRNA from 1 species